CCUACGGGUGGCAGCAGUGAGGAAUAUUGGUCAAUGGACGAGAGUCUGAACCAGCCAAGUAGCGUGAAGGAUGACUGCCCUAUGGGUUGUAAACUUCUUUUAUAUGGGAAUAAAAUGAUCCACGUGUGGGAUUUUGUAUGUACCAUAUGAAUAAGGAUCGGCUAACUCCGUGCCAGCAGCCGCGGUAAUACGGAGGAUCCGAGCGUUAUCCGGAUUUAUUGGGUUUAAAGGGAGCGUAGGUGGAUUGUUAAGUCAGUUGUGAAAGUUUGCGGCUCAACCGUAAAAUUGCAGUUGAAACUGGCAGUCUUGAGUACAGUAGAGGUGGGCGGAAUUCGUGGUGUAGCGGUGAAAUGCUUAGAUAUCACGAAGAACUCCGAUUGCGAAGGCAGUUCACUGAACUGCAACUGACACUGAGGCUCGAAAGUGUGGGUAUCAAACAGGAUUAGAUACCCCAGUAGUC
rnacentral:rRNA from 1 species